rnacentral:tRNA from 1 species
GGGGGUUUAGCUCAGCGGGAGAGCGGGGUCUUUGCAAGGCUCAGGUCGAGAGUUCGAAUCUCUCAACCUCCA